rnacentral:miRNA from 1 species
AUAGCUCUGAAAAUGGCGCUGC